rnacentral:rRNA from 1 species
AACCAGACUCCUACGGGAGGCAGCAGUGGGGGAUAUUGCACAAUGGGGGGAACCCUGAUGCAGCGACGCCGCGUGGGUGAAGGAGUGCUUCGGUAUGUAAAGCUCUAUCAGCAGGGAAGAAAAUGACGGUACCUGACUAAGAAGCCCCGGCUAACUACGUGCCAGCAGCCGCGGUAAUACGUAGGGGGCAAGCGUUAUCCGGAUUUACUGGGUGUAAAGGGAGCGUAGACGGAAUUGCAAGUCUGAUGUGAAAAUCCGGGGCCCAACCCCGGAACUGCAUUGGAAACUGUAUUUCUAGAGUGUCGGAGAGGCAGGUGGAAUUCCUGGUGUAGCGGUGAAAUGCGUAGAUAUCAGGAGGAACACCAGUGGCGAAGGCGGCGUGCUGGACGAUGACUGACGUUGAGGCUCGAAAGCGUGGGGAGCAAACAGGAUUAGAGACCCGAGUAACU